rnacentral:lncRNA from 1 species
AAAAUAUGGUUUUCAAAGAUUUAACCACUGAAAAUGCGUUUUUUGAGUGAUAACUCAAUACGAUGAAAGAAAAACAAAUGAUUUUGACAUUUGGAAACUCAAAGAAAUUCAUGAGAAAACAAAAUAAAUUUUUUUUUAACAUUAUGGAUAAAAAAUUUUUUCGCAAGAGGAAGGACACUCCAAAGUAACAAAGCUAUCAGCGCUAUUCUGAGAAAACCUCAUAACUGGACUAAAUAAAGAAAUGGACAACCAAGAAAAUUAAGAUUUCAAAAUGUGAAUUAACAACUCAGGAGCAGCUGCAGCAUUACAGGAUAUUAUUUCAACAUAAAUAUCUUUUUAUCCGCAUAUGUGUUAAAUACAUAUACAUAUAUACAUAUAUAUGUACAUAUUUAAACAUAAAA